rnacentral:rRNA from 1 species
GUCUACGGCCAUACCACCCUGAACGCGCCCGAUCUCGUCUGAUCUCGGAAGCUAAGCAGGGUCGGGCCUGGUUAGUACUUGGAUAGGAGGAAAACCUGUCAUUUUUACUUCCAAAGCAUGCAGGGGUAGAGU